AUUCCAUGAUGAAGGCACUUUCGUAAUAAUUCUUUGUACCUUUCUCAUUCUUAUACAAUGACUCAUCAUCCAUUUGUUGGAAAGUAGUGAUCUCGUUCCUCAACUU
rnacentral:snoRNA from 1 species